rnacentral:rRNA from 1 species
GACGAACGCUGGCGGCGUGCCUAAUACAUGCAAGUAGAACGCACAGUUUAUACCGUAGCUUGCUACACCAUAGACUGUGAGUUGCGAACGGGUGAGUAACGCGUAGGUAACCUGCCUGGUAGCGGGGGAUAACUAUUGGAAACGAUAGCUAAUACCGCAUAAUAUUGAUUAUUGCAUGAUAAUUAAUUGAAAGGUGCAAUUGCACCACUACCAGAUGGACCUGCGUUGUAUUAGCUAGUAGGUGAGGUAACGGCUCACCUAGGCGACGAUACAUAGCCGACCUGAGAGGGUGGUCGGCCACACUGGGACUGGGACACGGCCCAGACUCCUACGGGAGGCAGCAGUAGGGAAUCUUCGGCAAUGGACGAAAGUCUGACCGAGCAACGCCGCGUGAGUGAAGAAGGUUUUCGGAUCGUAAAGCUCUGUUGUAAGAGAAGAACGGGUGUGAGAGUGGAAAGUUCACACUGUGACGGUAUCUUACCAGAAAGGGACGGCUAACUACGUG